rnacentral:rRNA from 1 species
UACGGAGGGGGCGAGCGUUAUUCGGAAUUAUUGGGCGUAAAGGGCGCGUAGGCGGCCCUGCAAGUCAAAGGUGAAAUCCCUCGGCUCAACUGAGGAACUGCCUUUGAAACUGCGGGGCUUGAGGCCGGGAGGGGGUAGCGGAAUUCCCAGUGUAGCGGUGAAAUGCGUAGAUAUUGGGAGGAACACCAGUGGCGAAGGCGGCUCACCGGACCGGUUCUGACGCUGAGGCGCGAAAGCGUGGGGAGCAAACGGG